rnacentral:lncRNA from 1 species
GCUGGAGAGCAGGCUGCAGCCACUGACACUGCACCAGGCAGCUAAACCCAACUGUCUUACUGGCCUGAAGAAUAGUUUAGUAUAAAAUAAAUAUUAAAUAUAAUAUUAAAUUAAUAAUACAUUAAUAAUUAAUUAAUUAAUUAAUAAUAUUAAAUAUUUAUAGGGAGAGUAACCACAAUGAUCUGAAAGGAGAGUGCUAGGGAAGUUCCUUCCCCCAAGUUACAUCUAUAAAUUCAGCCCAAGUCUCUUGCUGACCAGGACGCUAUGGAUGUGUGGGGCCAACUCAAAGCAGGACUGAAGAGAUCUGGAUUUACAGUUACCCACUGCAGCUGGUCGGGUCUAGCAAAUACAAAUAUCGCCACAAUAAGACCUUUUCACAUCCUUUGGAGGAAUAUAACAGGAUCCAGAAUGUUCUACAAUGUUAACAGAAUAUCCAGACACAUUUCAAAAUUACCUAAUUAGUAUACAUAGAAUUAGGGAAAUGUGACUCAUUCUCAAGGGAAAAGAUAAGAUGACCAAGAGAACCCAAAUGUUAGGGGGUGCCUCGUUGGCUCAGUGGGUAGAGCAUGCAACUCUUGCAAGGUCGUGAGUUCAAACCCCGUGUUGGGUGUGGAGCCUACAUUAUUUUUUUUUUAAUUUUUAUUUAUUUAUGAUAGUCACAGAGAGAGAGAGAGAGAGACAGAGACACAGGCAGAGGGAGAAGCAGGCUCCAUGCACCGGGAGCCUGACGUGGGAUUCGAUCCAGGGUCUCCCGGAUCGCGCCCUGGGCCAAAGGCAGGCGCCAAACCGCUGCGCCACCCCGGGAUCCCUGGAGCCUACAUUAAAAAAAAAAAAAAAAAAAGUGUUGGAAUUAGACAAGGAUUUUAAGCAACUAUUUAUUAUAACUAUGCUACAACAGGUAAAAGGAAAUUACCUGUGUAAUGCUGAAAAAUGAGAAAUCUUGGCAGAGAAAUAGAAAAUAUUAAAGAACAAAAUGGAUAUUCUAACCCAGAAAAUACAGUACCCGCAAUUUUAGUGGUAAACCUAAUAGCAGAAUGGGGAUGAGAGACUUCAUGCACUGGAAAUACAUUGGUAGGAAUUAUCCAGUCUAAAAAGAGGCACAGAUUUUUUUAAAGUCUUGAAAGCAGCCUGAUAAAAACAACACAUUACAAGCAGGGGGACUGUGAUUCAGGUGUUCCUGGAGUUCUCCAGUAAAGAUGGCGAUCAGAGACGGAUCAAGAGGCUGAAGAGAAACCGUCAACCCCAGAAUUCUAUAACCAGUUAAAACAAGUAUUUUCGGAUAAAAGAAGCCUAAGAGAUCUUGUCACUGGCAGAAAUACACUAUACAAAAUGCUAAUGGAAGUUCUUCAACCUUGGGGGAUGUUAUCCCAGGAGAAACUUGGAACUUCAGGCUGCAUCGAAGAGUACUUUCUAUAAAUGGUAACCCGGUGGUGAAAGAUUGCUAAGGACUCUCUAGCCUCUUAGAUUUCUUUGCAAUCUAUAUGAUUUUGAAAGCAAAAGUUAUGCCACUACCUUGUGGGAUUUGUGAUGUGUGGAGAUGUAAGCCGUGUCACCACGAUGGCGCCAAAUGGUGGGAAGGGUCUGAAGGACCUGUGGCCUAUGCAGUGGCCGAUUCUACAAUGUAAGUGAAGUGGUACAAUACGGACCCCAAAUAGACCGAGGAGAGGUAGGUACUACUAAAAGCUGAACUGCUGAGAGCAAAAUCUCGGAGGAAGUAUUCAAAUAAUCCACG